ensembl:misc_RNA 7SK 7SK RNA
UCAUUUGAAACUAUGCAACGUCUGUUACCCCAUUGAUUGCCAGGGUUGAUUCGGCUGAUCUGGCUGGCUAGGCGGGUGUCCCUUUUCUCCCUCAGUGCUCAAUGUGUGUCCUUCCUGAAGCUGUAUGCUUGGUUGAAGAGGACGACCAUCCCAGAUAGAGGAGGACCAUUCUUCAGACAAGGGUAUAUGAGUAGCUACGCUUCCCUGCUGGAACCUCCAAACAAAUAGGAAAUUUUAAAAAGCAUAAAUAUUUUAAAAUAGGGCCCUAUUUUU